CUCACAUCCAUAUAAACAUAUAAAAACAUUACAUACCUAGAAACGAUCACAUAUGGCCAUAAAUUAAAUAAUUAAAAGACUAUAUAUACCAAUUUAUCAAUUGAACUCACCAAGAGGUCUGAUGUUGAUUUUUUGUCUGCUCUAACUGGCACGGUUUUGGUAGUCUGUCAUUUGCCAUGGCAUUCAAUUUUAUCCAAUAGUUAUAUGCCCUAAUUUUGGAGAAACCAUCAGCUGUUAUAAUCCCUGCUCUGCUCUUACUGCAGCAGCUGUGGCUCUUUUGUCCAUUCCCAGAAAGCUUCACAGGUGAUGUGAUUGAGAUUGCUCUAAAUCUCAAACCUCAGCCUUAUAUACUUUAAGAAGUGGGUCUAAAGAUCCUGGUUGGCUAUGAUUUGUUAAUGUAAGCAGUAGAUUUGCACAUACUCUUGCUCUGGCUGAGCUAUUUUGAUGGUGUGGGAGCCAGGAACCGGUCUCAGAAAAAAAACAACUCCGAGCAAGAGGCGCAUGGAGGAGGCCACCAGAGAAGCAUCAGAACUUACCAUACCAAUCACUAUACUGAAAUGUUCACAGAUGUGCCACUUGGAUGUAAUAAUUCACAGCUCUGACAACUGUGGCUCUAUGAUGGAGUUUUCUGGCACCGAGAGUGUGUGA
rnacentral:lncRNA from 11 species